rnacentral:rRNA from 1 species
GACGAACGCUGGCGGCGUGCUUAACACAUGCAAGUCGAACGGAAAGGCCCUGCUUUUGUGGGGUGCUCGAGUGGCGAACGGGUGAGUAACACGUGAGUAACCUGCCCUUGACUUUGGGAUAACUUCAGGAAACUGGGGCUAAUACCGGAUAGGAGCUCCUGCUGCAUGGUGGGGGUUGGAAAGUUUCGGCGGUUGGGGAUGGACUCGCGGCUUAUCAGCUUGUUGGUGGGGUAGUGGCUUACCAAGGCUUUGACGGGUAGCCGGCCUGAGAGGGUGACCGGGAAAAAGGGGAAGAAGAUAGGGACGAGACGGAAACGGGAGGCAGCAGGGGGGAGUGGGGGAGAAGGGGCGGGAGCUGGAGGAAGCAACGCGGCGGGCGGGAUGAGGGGGUGCGGGGAGGAAACAGAGGAGGACGGGGAAGAAGCGAGAGAGACGGGAAUGAGAAAAGAAGCACCGGCUAACCACGUG